AGGUGCACUGUGUCAGGGGCCAGUGUAGCACUUCGACUGCAAAAGAGGGGAUUGGAGAAGUUAGUGUCCAGCCGCAGGAGGUGUCACCCCCUGUGUUCUCAACAGACUUUGCCAGUGAGACCAAAUCGAUAUUGGAAUGCCAAUCAUCCAGAUCCACACCAAACGACUCUGCAUGUGAGUGUACAAUUCAUCAGCUGGUUUUUGAAAUGGUGAGAAUUGACGAAUGCUGGAUAUGUCAUUCACCUUUGACAUCUAUCAGAUGGUGCGGUCUAAGAUGCAAACGUAAGUGUGUUUUUCAUCUUCUC